rnacentral:rRNA from 1 species
GUUAUCGUUUAUUUGAUAGUACCUUACUACUUGGAUAACCGUGGUAAUUCUAGAGCUAAUACAUGCUGAAAACCCCAACUUCGGGAGGGGUGUAUUUAUUAGAUAAAAAACCAACGCCCUUCGGGGCUUCUUGGUGAUUCAUGAUAACUUCACGGAUCGCAUGGCCUUGCGCCGGCGACGGUUCAUUCAAAUUUCUGCCCUAUCAACUUUCGAUGGUAAGGUAUUGGCUUACCAUGGUUUCAACGGGUAACGGGGAAUUAGGGUUCGAUUCCGGAGAGGGAGCCUGAGAAACGGCUACCACAUCCAAGGAAGGCAGCAGGCGCGCAAAUUACCCAAUCCCGACACGGGGAGGUAGUGACGAUAAAUACUGAUACAGGGCUCUUUUGAGUCUUGUAAUUGGAAUGAGUACAAUUUAAACCUCUUAACGAGGAACAAUUGGAGGGCAAGUCUGGUGCCAGCAGCCGCGGUAAUUCCAGCUCCAAUAGCGUAUAUUAAAGUUGUUGCAGUUAAAAAGCUCGUAGUUGAAACUUGG